rnacentral:lncRNA from 1 species
CUUGUGCAAUGCCCCUCCCUGUGGCCUUCACCUUUGCCUUGGUGCCAUGGCUCACAGCAGCUCCCCCUCCCAGGGACGUGCUGCCUCAGGCAGCUGGAGGGAUAGCCUGAGCCCCUUGCCGGGGCUGCUGAGGAGAGGAGGCCACUGCUGCCACCUGCUCGCAAUUUGGCUUAUGGAAAAUACCCAGAGGCUCUGGAAGGCAGAUACAAGGAGGUCCAAGGUGAAGGCAAGGCCAGGAGGAGCAGAUGCCAGAUACAUGCACAUCUGGAGGAGAAUGAGUGACACACAGUAG